rnacentral:rRNA from 1 species
UACGAAGGGGGCAAGCGUUGUCCGGAAUCAUUGGGCGUAAAGCGCGCGUAGGCGGCUAGGUAAGUCUGCUCUGAAAGCCCGGGGCUCAACCCCGGGAGGCGGGUGGAUACUGUCUAGCUCGAGUCCGGAAGAGGAGUGUGGAAUUCCUGGUGUAGCGGUGAAAUGCGCAGAUAUCAGGAGGAACACCAAUGGCGAAGGCAGCACUCUGGGACGUGACUGACGCUGAGACGCGAAAGCGUGGGGAGCAAACAGG